UCCGAGUUUGAUCCUGGCUCAGAUUGAACGCUGGCGGCAUGCCUUUACACAUGCAAGUCGAACGGCAGCACGGGGGCAACCCUGGUGGCGAGUGGCGAACGGGUGAGUAAUACAUCGGAACGUGUCCUGUAGUGGGGGAUAGCCCGGCGAAAGCCGGAUUAAUACCGCAUACGACCUAAGGGAGAAAGCGGGGGAUCUUCGGACCUCGCGCUAUAGGGGCGACCGAUGGCAGAUUAGCUAGUUGGCGGGGUAAAGCCCACCAAGGCAACGAUCCGUAGCUGGUCUGAGAGGAUGAUCAGCCACACUGGAACUGAGACACGGUCCAGACUCCUACGGGAGGCAGCAGUGGGGAAUUUUGGACAAUGGGCGCAAGCCUGAUCCAGCCAUGCCGCGUGAGUGAAGAAGGCCUUCGGGUUGUAAAGCUCUUUCGGCAGGAACGAAAUGGUUCGUGUUAAUACCACGGACUGAUGACGGUACCUGAAGAAGAAGCACCGGCUAACUACGUGCCAGCAGCCGCGGUAAUACGUAGGGUGCAGGCGUUAAUCGGAAUUACUGGGCGUAAAGCGUGCGUAGGCGGUUCCUCAAGUCCGUUGUGAAAGCCCCGGGCUCAACCUGGGAAUGGCAGUGGAAACUAGGGGACUGGAAUCUGGCAGAGGGGGGUGGAAUGCCGCGUGUAGCAGUGAAAUGCGUUCACACAGG
rnacentral:rRNA from 1 species